GGGGUUAUAGCUCAGCUGGUAGAGCGCCUGCCUUGCACGCAGGAGGUCUGCGGUUCGAACCCGCAUAGCUCCACAA
rnacentral:tRNA from 1 species